rnacentral:misc_RNA from 1 species
GAUGAAGAACGUAGCGAAAUGCGAUAAGUAAUGUGAAUUGCAGAAUUCAGUGAAUCAUCGAAUCUUUGAACGCACAUUGCGCCCCCCAGUAUUCUGGCGGGCAUGCCUGUUCGAGCGUCAUUUCAACCAUCAAGCCCUGCUUGUGUUGGGGUCCUGCGGCUGCCCGCAGGCCCUGGAAACCAGUGGCGGGCUCGCUAGUCACACCGAGCGCAGUAGCACAUCUCGCUCAGGGCGUGCGGCGGGCUCCAGCCGUUAAAGCACCCACCUUUCGCAAGGUUGACCUCGGAUCAGGUAGGAAUACCCGCUGAACUUAAGCAUAUCAAUAAGCGGAGGA